rnacentral:lncRNA from 1 species
GCAGAUCCAGCCCCAGGAGCCAUAGAGAGGAGGUUUCGUGGGGUUUCAGUCACCCAGGCUGGAGUGCAGUGGUGCGUUCGCGGCUCCUUGCAGCCCCGCCCUCUCGGGCUCAGGUGAUCCUCCCAUCUCCGCCUCCCGAGUAGGUGGGACUACAGUAGUGUAUCAGCACACCCGGCUAUUUUUUUUUUUUUUUUUUUUUGUAGAGACAGGGUUUCGCCAUGUUGCCUAGGCUGGUCUCCAACCUGGUCUCCUGGGCUCAAGCGAUCCGCCCGCCUCGGCCUCCCACAGUGCUGGGAUUCCAGGCGUGAGCUACCGCGCCCGGCCUAUUUACUUUUCUUACUAAGCUGGGGAUCACCGUCGCCCUCGGCUUGGCAGGAAGGCGGGGGUGCAAGAAGAAAAGAGGUACAGAACACCCAGAGGUGCCCUCGAUUCCGUCUUGCACUUGCCCUUCUCCCACCGUCCAGCAAUAAAGCGAGAGAAACAAGUGCAGGAAACUGGCCGGCAGUCAUGGGAGAAGCCAAAAAGACAGGAGUUCAGUGGCAUGACCAGGGCUCACUGCAACCUUGAUCUGGGCUCAAGUGAUCCUCCUACCUCAGCUUCCUGAGUAGCUAGGACCACAGGUGUGCACCAACCACACCCGACUAAUUUUUGUAGAGAUGAGAUCCCACUAUGUUACCCAGGCUGGUCUUGAACUCCUGGGCUCAGGUGAUCAUCCUGCCUUGGCUUCCCAAAGUACUGGGAUUAUAGGCUUGAGCCACCGUGCCUGGCCUGUGAUCAGAAUUCUCAUUUUUUUAGUCACUAAAAAUGCUGGGGGGCACUCCAUUCUCCAUUAUGUGAUUAGUUCACAUUGCAUGCUUGUAUCAAAACAUCAUAUAUACCCCACAAAUAUAUACAAAAAACUUUAAAAUUUUAAGUAUUAAUUGCUCAGGAAAAAAUUAAAAUGCUGGGGUGCUGAAAUCUCAAGGGCCCCAUUACAAAACUCCUUAGGAACCUCGCCCUCUCUCUGCUGUAAGGACUGGUUCCAGAAUGAGAGAAUUUAAAAGACAUUCCCCCCCCAAAAUGUUCAUAAUGUCACCCCGGAAACCUGCGAAUAUGUUAUAUUACAUGACCAGGGAGAAGUAAGGUUGCAGAUGGCAGUAAGGUUGCUAAUGGGCUGACCUUAAGAUAAGGAGAUGAUCCUGGAUUAUCUGGGUGGACCCAAUGUAAUCACAAGGGUCCUUAACUGUGGAAUAGUGAGGUGGCUGAGUCAGAGGCAGAGUGAUGCAAUGACUGAAAGACUUAACCAGCCAUCACCGGCUUUGAAUACGGAAGACGGUCAUGAGCCAGGGAAUGCAGGCAGGCUCUGGGAGCUGAAAAAAGCAAGAAAAUGGAUUCUCCCCUGGAGCCUCCAGAAGGGAUGCGGUCCUGCCAACCCCUUGUCAGUGAGCCAUUUCAGAUUUCUGACUUCCAGGACUGUAAGAAAAUAAACUUGUCUUGUUUUCAGC